UAAAGAAAGCGCUACCGCAACUUUACUGAUUAUCCCUGCUGUCUUCUCAUAUUAACAGCCAUAAAAUAUUUUUUUCAAAUAGUUUUGUCAGUCUUACAUGUGAACAUGUUUAACAACUAGAGAUAUCAACGGUAAGCGUUCAAUGUAUCAGUUUACACGAAAGUUCUUGCGGAAGUCCUGUGGGUCAUGUGUAUGCAUCGAGUGCGAUCUUAUUCAACCACAAUUAAUUUAUUGGAAUUUUACAAAAAUAGAACUAAGCUGUCUUUACAGACGUAAACUUACAUAGUUACUGUGCCUUGAUGAGACAUCACGCGUCGCUUGCAAUUCAUGAUCAGGUUAAACUCAAGACUUGCAAAAUUUUAUUACUUUUCCUCGGCCGCGAUUAUCUUGAGGCAAAAGAGGGAAACAAUGUAACUGAUCCUCAACAAAAUUUAGCAUGGAUUAAUUUGGAGCUUUUGCAAACGAAACGCGGGAACACUAUUAGUUCAUGAUAAACGCCACGUACAUGCAUGCAACACUGUCUUGUACAUGUAGGUCACUCUUAUUUAAGCAACUUAGGACGAAAAUAUUUUAACGAAAUUGCUAGAGACAUAAACAUAAACAUAUUGAGCAGUGGGCCUAAAAUGCAAAAGAAAUUGUGAAAAUAAAUCACUGGUGGCUUAAAAAUAAAUUAAUAAAAUUCGAUUUCCGGUUCGACGAGAGGAGAUUUUUGGUAGCAUUAAUUUCACCGGAAGUGCGGAAGGAGCGCUCGUGCCAGUUCUACUCCUCAACACACAUUGGACCAAGAGCGGAAUGUCCGUUUCACGGCCCGACCUUUUCCCGCCCUCUUAAGACAGUUGGACCCUGCUAUCCUUUCCAAUUUCUGUGGUUAACGUAGAUGAACAGUUACCGUAAAAAAUUUUAAUUUUUUUUAUUUUUUUAUUGUCUGCAUACCACAGGAUAUUGACUGGGAUCCUGUAGAUGGACAAUUUCUUGUGAGUGUUAGCAGUGAUCAGACAACCAGAUUACACGCUCCGUGGAAACAACACGGACGACAGCAGUCCUUGUGGUGUGAAAUAGCCCGUCCGCAGGUUCAUGGCUAUGACAUGCAGUGUUUGAGCAUGCUCAGUAGAUACAGACUGGUAUCUGGCGCCGAUGAAAAGGUCCUAAGAAUAUUCAAAGCACCUCGUCAGUUCAUGGAGACAUUUCAAGGACUUUGCAAAGUUAAGGAAAACGAUGAGGUGGCUGAUAGUUUGCCUGUAGGAGCGAGUGUACCUGCUCUUGGACUUUCAAACAA